GACUAGGCCUAAUGGUAAGGCGUUGCUUUCCGGUGGCAAAGAUUGUGGGUUCGAGUCCCAUCCUCGUCG